AUAUAAUACGUGAUGAGUUCAUAGUUCAACUGACUUAUAGUGAAGAUUGCUCAUUUUGUCUUUCGCUCCUAUCUGAUAAUUUUA